ensembl:lncRNA
CAGGGAAAUACAAGAUGCAUGUAAACAUAAACCAAAUACAAAACAAAACAACCCAAAUCUUACAGUCUAGAAGCAUGCCAAGACAGAGCAUUUCUGCAGAGUCCCGUCAGACUGAUAAAGGACACCUGGAAAGUGGCAGGCCAAGGGGCUGGGUCCCCUUCCCAGGACACUGCAUGUUUGUGAUGAGAUUUGAAAAGCCCACCAUUGGAACUAUCAGAAACAUGGAGAAAGUUUAGCACCACCAUUGACCCUGGGAAUAUUUAGCACUCACAUAGACUGCACCGCAUGUAAUGUCCAUUUCUCCAGUUUCUCUGCUAGGGGGAAGAGGAAAAGACCUGGGCACCGUGGAGCCCACUAGGGGCUGGCCGGGCCGUGGGGGUGCCAUGAGGGAUCUCCAGCAGUUCUGGAGCCUCGGCGCCACCUGCCAGUGCAGUCAGCCACGCAGCCCACACAGCGGCUCCUGUGAUGGGCACUCACAUCGUCCUGCCCACCGUGCCCUCGCUGCAGACCGGCAGCCGGAACCACUGCAGGUAUAAAGGAGCCUCGUGUGGAGGGAGAGGCGGCGAGUGAGGCUGUCCUCCCAGGUGGACCUGACAGACCCCAGGCAUCAGUCUGGGGACGGUGCGUCCUCGCGGGGUGGCCAUCAUACUCACGCAUUGCUAAGUGAGCCCAGCUCUGCACUGCACGAAGGCCUCGGGCAGUGAGCUGGGAGCCUGGAAGAUGGAAGUGAGCCUGCAGAAACGGGCCUCUGACUCAGACUCGCCUUGCUUACAGCACUCCCCUUGCCCGCUGCACUGAGCAAAUCAAUAACCAUUCGCGAGAAUCAGCUGUGGCCAGUGAGGACCAGACUCCCCUGGCCAGCUGCUUCUGGCCAGAUUCAGAGGAUUUUCCAAACUUCAGCUCUGGCUGGACCCUUGGGUGUCAAACCAUGAAAUUCUCUGCCUGCCUGCUGUCUUCUUUCUGAAACACUCAGCAUCACCUUCUUCCCUCUUUCUGAUCAAUAAAGACAAAACAAACCUUCAACUCUUUCUACCUCCCCACACCUUUCCUGCCGUCUGCCGAGAACACACCUCUUCCGGAGGCCGCCUCCCCAGCGAAGGGAGGGAAGCCCCAGCCAUACCGGACGUGCACACACUCCCUUCUGCCAACAUACCUCUCACUUGGCUCCGACGUGCUCAGCCCACCCUUUUGCUCUUGACGAUUCUCUCUCACACACACCUCCCGAGGUCCAGGCCACUGGCCAGGAUGGGACUGGGAGCAAGGUGGGACCCUUCAGCAUUGGGACCCCACUCUGUAAGGACACUAAGUUCUAGGGCUAGGAUGGGAGAGGAUGCUGAUUGUCAAGGUCGGGUGCAAACGGGGUUGAGAAAGACAGCACAGGGGAAGGGCGGUCACAUGCAGAUCCCGGCCUCACAGGCAGGCUGGGGUCAAGGCCUGGGAAGGAAGAGCCCUCCACGCAGUCUGUGAGCACCAACGUGCCUGCCUUCCAGCCUGGGCACUCAAGUGUGCUGAACAGAGCGGGAACACAACAAAUCAGUGGGGCCAUUCGGCUCCAGCGCUGUUGGGCCACUGACCUGGCCUCUGAUCAGAGCUUGGGAGCUUGGGCACCACACACGGGCCUGCCUCCACCAGGCACGAGACAGCCCAGCGCUGUAAGACCCAGAACCCUCCCCCUGCGUCAUGACGCGGACGGGCAGGGCCUGGCUGAGACCGGAGGCACUGCUCUGGGCACAUGCGGGCCCUGCUGAGCGCCCUAUGGGCCGGUUCUCACCUGGCCAGCCUGACCCUUCUCAGAAACUGGAACCCAGGGGCCGGGUGCUCUUGUAUCUUACGGGGCUUCUCACACAGGUGACCCGGAGGCCAGGGUGGGAGUCGGCCUGUGGGGUGACGCCUGCGGGUGGUGAGCUAAUGUAACCACCUGGGCACUCCCAGGUCCAGCAGCAGUCUCUCUGCCACAUCUUUAUCCGGAGCCCAGGACGAUGGCUUAGGCUGCUUCUGCUAGAUGUUAAUGCCAGUG